AUGAACGCUAGCUACAGGCUUAACACAUGCAAGUCGAGGGGCAGCGGGGUUGAAGCUUGCUUCAACCGCCGGCGACCGGCGCACGGGUGAGUAACACGUAUCCAACCUGCCGAUAACUCCGGGAUAGCCUUUCGAAAGAAAGAUUAAUACCGGAUGGCAUAGUUUUCCCGCAUGGAAUAACUAUUAAAGAAUUUCGGUUAUCGAUGGGGAUGCGUUCCAUUAGGCAGUUGGCGGGGUAACGGCCCACCAAACCGACGAUGGAUAGGGGUUCUGAGAGGAAGGUCCCCCACAUUGGAACUGAGACACGGUCCAAACUCCUACGGGAGGCAGCAGUGAGGAAUAUUGGUCAAUGGACGAGAGUCUGAACCAGCCAAGUAGCGUGAAGGAUGACUGCCCUAUGGGUUGUAAACUUCUUUUAUACGGGAAUAAAGUUAGCCACGUGUGGUUUUUUGCAUGUACCGUAUGAAUAAGGAUCGGCUAACUCCGUGCCAGCAGCCGCGGUAAUACGGAGGAUCCGAGCGUUAUCCGGAUUUAUUGGGUUUAAAGGGAGCGUAGGCGGGGUAUUAAGUCAGUUGUGAAAGUUUGCGGCUCAACCGUAAAAUUGCAGUUGAUACUGGUAUCCUUGAGUGCAGCAGAGGUGGGCGGAAUUCGUGGUGUAGCGGUGAAAUGCUUAGAUAUCACGAAGAACUCCGAUUGCGAAGGCAGCUCACUGGAGUGUAACUGACGCUGAUGCUCGAAAGUGUGGGUAUCAAACAGGAUUAGAUACCCUGGUAGUCCACACAGUAAACGAUGAAUACUCGCUGUUGGCGAUACAAUGUCAGCGGCCAAGCGAAAGCAUUAAGUAUUCCACCUGGGGAGUACGCCGGCAACGGUGAAACUCAAAGGAAUUGACGGGGGCCCGCACAAGCGGUGGAGCAUGUGGUUUAAUUCGAAGCAACGCGAAGAACCUUACCAGGGCUUGACAUCCUACUAACGAAGUAGAGAUACAUCAGGUGCCCUUCGGGGAAAGUAGAGACAGGUGGUGCAUGGUUGUCGUCAGCUCGUGCCGUGAGGUGUCGGCUUAAGUGCCAUAACGAGCGCAACCCUUAUCGAUAGUUACCAUCAGGUCAUGCUGGGGACUCUAUCGAGACUGCCGUCGUAAGAUGUGAGGAAGGUGGGGAUGACGUCAAAUCAGCACGGCCCUUACGUCCGGGGCUACACACGUGUUACAAUGGGGGGUACAGAAGGCAGCUACACGGCGACGUGAUGCUAAUCCCAAAAACCUCUCUCAGUUCGGAUUGGAGUCUGCAACCCGACUCCAUGAAGCUGGAUUCGCUAGUAAUCGCGCAUCAGCCACGGCGCGGUGAAUACGUUCCCGGGCCUUGUACACACCGCCCGUCAAGCCAUGAAAGCCGGGGGUACCUGAAGUACGUAACCGCGAGGAUCGUCCUAGGGUAAAACCGGUAAUUGGGGCU
rnacentral:rRNA from 1 species